rnacentral:rRNA from 1 species
GACGAACGCUGGCGGCGUGCUUAACACAUGCAAGUCGAACGGAGAGGCCUUGCUUUCGUGGUGGGCUCGUGUGGCGAGCGUGUGUGUAACGCGAGUGAACCACCCUCUAGACUUUGAUAUAACUUCGGGACUCGGUGUCUUAUACCAUACAGGAGAUCCCCGUGCGGGGUGGUGGUGGGAAGGGUUAGGUGGUUGGUGUAGGGCUCGCGGCCUAUCAGCUUGUUGGUGGGGUAGUGGCUUACCAAGGCGGCGACGGGUAGCCGGCCUGAGAGGGUGACCGGCCACACUGGGACUGAGAUACGGCCCAGACUCCUACGGGAGGCAGCAGUGGGGAAUAUUGCACAAUGGGCGGAAGCCUGAUGCAGCGACGCCGCGUGCGGGAUGACGGCCUUCGGGUUGUAAACCGCUUUCGGCUGGGAAGAAGAGUGAGUGACGGUAACGGGUAAAGAAGCACCGGCUAACUACGUG